UAAGCCCUCAAGAUCUGUUAGGCUGGUGUUUUGGUUUCCGCAAAUUAAAUCCCCUUGAAAAAGCUAAUUUAGCAACUGAAGCAGAUCAUCAUAGAAAGCAUUAAGACCAUAAGCAGUAAUAGCAAACAAUAAUGUUAAAAUGUAGUCACCGGUUUCCCUUGUGAUUUGUUUUGUUUUACAGUUUCUGCAUAACAUCAUCUCACCCAAGACAAACAACCUCAUGAAGGGCCAGAUUUACCUCCUUGCUGGCACCUGCUAUGGCAGCAGCAAUGACAGAGAAGACAAAGUUGUUGUCCACUGUCGGUGCUGCAGUGAAUGGUGCUACCUGGAGUUCCUGGCAAGCCGCUUCUGGAAAGUCUCACAGUACCAGUUCUGGGUUGAACAAUGUGCUCCAGUGAGCAGCACCCCACCAUAGGCAUGACUGGAGUGAGAAGCUUUACCAAGACAUUUUGCUACCUGUCAACAAACACAACAGAAAAGAACUUUUGAAACUAUGCAUCAAGUCUGCAGUUAUCAGAAAGCAGCUGAACCACUGAAGUGGGAGUCGUACGGCACUGUUAGAGGGGGGCAUUUGCUCCCCUGAAGUACACAGAGAUAUUGAUCCAAAAAUCCUGCAAGCAGCAGUUUUGGCAGCAGCUCCUCUACGUAGGUGUUUAAGAAGGUAAAACAGAUUGUCUUCUGGCAAGUGGUGGUACUGAGACUCAGGCUAAAAUUUAUUCAACACUAACAGGUGAACCUGAAUUUCUACCUGCCAGUUUCUCACCUGUCUCCUUUUUAAAUACAAAGAGUUGAAAUCCAAAACUCUUAAUCUAAUUAGACCUUGAGCUUUUGUGAACUCGUCUGUAUCUCUGCUCUACAUUUUACAGUUAGG